UACGUAGGGUGCAAGCGUUGUCCGGAAUUAUUGGGCGUAAAGAGCUCGUAGGCGGUCUGUUGCGUCGGCUGUGAAAACCCGGGGCUCAACUCCGGACCUGCAGCCGAUACGGGCAGACUAGAGUUCGGCAGGGGAGACUGGAAUUCCAGGUGUAGCGGUGAAAUGCGUAGAUAUCUGGAGGAACACCGGUGGCGAAGGCGGCGUUCUGGACUGUUUCUGACACUGAAAAACGAAAGCCAGGGGAGCAAACGGG
rnacentral:rRNA from 1 species